UUUCUCUUCCAAAAGACUCGUUUGUCACCCAGAGCUCACGACUGCAGAAAAUUCCAGCUCUCAGCCAUGAAUCCUGGUUUUGCCUGGGUGGAGGGCUCUUAGGAGUCCCCAGGGAGCUGCUGGCUGCUGGCGUAGACCUGUGUUCCUAUUGCUGGUAACACAUCAGGUAGGCAGAAACAGCAAAAUGGAGAAACCUCUACUACAGAAAUGUUUUAUGUUGAAUGGGGAAAUGCAGGAGUCUUGAACAUAACAGGAUUAUAUUGCCUCUGCAGGAGUACAUCCAUGAGUAAUGAGGUGUUGUGGCUUCUCCAGCUUCAACUUUCUUUGUUCAACUUUCUGUCUCCCCACCGCAUGUGGUCCAGUGACUUCCUCAGCAGCGUUGAACAGACAAUUCAUUAUCUCCCUACAGUUUGAAACACCGGCAUUAUUGAAGAUGGAUAGAAAGUGGAAAAAUGAUGGGGUGAUGGGAGAGAAAUCACGAGAAAAGAGGCUUUGAUGUUGCAGAUAAGAGACUGGCAAGCUCGAGAAGAAGCCGACUGGAAAUGAGCUCCAUUAGGAGAGGGCAUCCUGACCAUGGGGCCAUGACUGGCCUUGAAGUGAGAGAGGACACAGGAGCAAGAGGACAUCUUGGCAGAGACCACAGAGCAUGGCUUUCCUGCUGGGUGCUGUAGUGUAACCUGCAAUCCAACAUUUGGUGGAGGGGGGUGAGGGGCGGGUGAGGGAAAGGUAGGAGGGGGUGUGGAGGCAGGAGAAACAGGAGUUCAAGGAUAGUCUCAGCUAUAUAGCAAGCUUGAGGUCCAUCUGAGUUACAUGAGAUCCUGUCCUGUGACGAUAUCUUGAUUGUACAAAUAAAGCCUGUCUAAAGAUCAGAGGAUGGAACUUGCCACUAGCUAAACCUAAAGGUUGGAGGUCUGUACAGACAGACAGGAAGUGAGAUGUCUGGGCAGAGGGAGGAAAUGAGAUGGCCGGGGCAGAGAGGAUUUGAAGGGACCAGCUUCCCAUUUCAGCAGCCAUAACAGCCUAACAUGUGCUUGUCUGACCUUGCCUUGGUCACUAGGAGGUCAGAUGCCUGCCUCAUGGCAAGGAACCAAUCAGAAGUUAGCUGGUAGUGCUAUCCUUUACGGCUCUGUGUGUGCUUUAUGGACAAGUGCACAGCAAUGACGUGCAGAGCACAGCAAUCACCCUGGGAGGGGCUAUGGGCCAUAACAACCAGUUGACCAAUCAACACAGAGCAAGUCCUCCAAGCCUGGAGGCACACCAAUCCUGAGCCUAUGUGUACCCCUAGACACUCCCCUUACACUGCCCUAUAAGAUCUCUAUCCCGUGGCUUCUCAGAAUCUUUUCCCAGCCAUCUGCCAUGGUGGAUGGAUGAAAUGCCCAAGCUAACAUGGGGUU
rnacentral:lncRNA from 1 species